UGCAAUGUUCGUAACAGUGUGGCCCUCAGUACCCCGAGGAAAAGAAAUCAACCGAGAUUCCCCCAGUAGCGGCGAGCGAACGGGGAGCAGCCCAGAGUCAACAUCAAUAUUUACCGCAGGAGAAGGGUCUGGAAAGGCCGGCAAUAAAGGGUGAUAGCCCCGUAUCUGAAGCGGUAAGUGUUGUGAACUCGAAGAGUAGGGCGGGACACGUGUUAUCCUGUCUGAAUAUGGGGGGACCCAUCCUCCAAGGCUAAAUACUCCUGACUGACCGAUAGUGAACCAGUACCGUGAGGGAAAGGCGAAAAGAACCCCGGCGAGGGGAGUGAAAUAGAACCUAAAACCGUGUACGUACAAGCAGUGGGAGCACCCGAAAGGGUGUGACUGCGUACCUUUUGUAUAAUGGGUCAGCGACUUAUAUUCUGUAGCAAGGUUAACCGCAUAGGGGAGCCGUAGGGAAACCGAGUCUUAACUGGGCGUUAAGUUGCAGGGUAUAGACCCGAAACCCGGUGAUCUAGCCAUGGGCAGGUUGAAGGUUGGGUAACACUAACUGGGAGGACCA
rnacentral:rRNA from 1 species